CGCACAUUGCGCCCCUCGGUAUUCCGGGGGGCAUGCCUGUCCGAGCGUCAUUAAAACCUUCAAGCCUAGCUUGGUAUUGGGCGUCGCCUCUCACGAAGCGUGCCUGAAAGUCAGUGGCGGUCCGGUGUGACUUGAGGCGUAGUAAAUAUUCUCCCGUCUUGCAAGUUUCGCGCCGCGUCCAGCCAGAAGUAGCCCUCUCCAACGAUUGACCUCGGAUCAGGUAGGGAUACCCGCUGAACUUAA
rnacentral:misc_RNA from 1 species